GGCUGGUCCAAUGGUAGUGGGUUAUCAGAACUUAAUAACAUUAUUGUCACUAAAGUUGGUAUACAACCUUCCACUGCUAAAUUUGACUGGCUUAAA
ensembl:misc_RNA Y_RNA Y RNA